rnacentral:hammerhead_ribozyme from 1 species
AAGCGAAACCGUCCCGGUCAUCCGGGAUGGUCUGCCGGACGUGGUUGUCCGGUACUGAUGAGCAGCCACCC